GGGGAUGAUCGGUUUCGACAUCGCCUGUGACUCUGCGUGAAGCGGGCCGAGGAUGCAGGGUUAUCUCGUGAACGCUCCCUGCAAAACCAUAACUGCCGAAAAGAAGCAGUCCGCGUUCGCCCUCGCUGCCUGAGCAGCGAGCCCGACGCCGUCAAUCCGUGACUGAUCCCGUCACGGGUAUUGGCGUCAUCUAGGGAUCUAGCUGCGUGACGUCGCCUGAGCGUCACGCGGGACUUUCUUCAGGCUGGGCCCGUCGACUUAGGUGUCUGUGACAAAGGUCGGGGCCGAGCAGAACGCUUCUACAGACUGCGCCCGGAGAAACCGCAGUAUUGCAGCGUUGGACGGGGGUUCGAUUCCCCCCAUCUCCACCA
rfam:Microbacterium ketosireducens strain DSM 12510 RS81_contig000029, whole genome shotgun sequence.